AUACUCUUGUACCGGCAAAAAAAAUGACUACCCACUAAAAGCAACUAAUUCAAACGAAAUUUCACCAUUUUAUCUUUCCCUCACUUUUUUCACACCACUCAGCUAUUCCCUCCAAUUUAUCAAAAUAACAAAAUUAAUUUUGGAAAAUUUGGGAAUACUUCACAAAGGCUCGACCUGUCUCAUCGUCGCUGAAACCACCACCACCGCCGCCACUGCAACUCAUUUUUGUCUCACCGUCGGCUACCAAACCCAGGUAAUGAAGAUUACAACAGCAUGCGGCUCUUGAGGCUUGAGCUAUCGCGGGCAGAUGUAUCUUGAAUUUUAGACUGGCAUGUUCUCUCGUUAGCAAGGCAAUUAUAAAAAUGUCUCCAGAAAAAGGUCAUAUAUUGUGAUGUUCAUAAAUAUGACAUGUAAAAGUCAUUGUGAUCAAGAGUUAGGAGAAUCUGCCCGAUGUAGCUUAUUAUCGAGCUUAUAGCUACUUGAUAAAACAAUUAAUUAGACGCGAAAUCAUAUUAGUUAUUAGAUUCAGAUAGUUUAGCAUUAGUUACGUUGUUUACACUCAAAUUAUGGAUUUGGUGAAGUACAUUGAGCUUCUUGAAGUGAAUUAUUAUUAUUAUUAUUAUUAUUAUUA